rnacentral:lncRNA from 1 species
GUGUUUCUCUAAUUUUUUUGCACAUGUUUUCAGUAUCAAAAUAUAUUUAAUAAGAUUAUUUUAAUAAUAUCCACAUGUAAAUAACAGCAUAUGGUGCUUGAUAUAACAAUAGUUUGUUUAUGAUAGUGUCAAACAAAGGGACGUAACUCGUGAAUUACCGUCGGCCCCGCUUCGUCAGAAAUAUCGACACAUCGAAGUGGCACAUUUGCGUAUCUUAGCAUAUCAACUGGCACAAAUUUGACAUAUCAUAGUCCAAGUUAUGUUACAUAACAUAAUUUAAAUUCAGCAUAGCUUCCCGAGAAGUUAAGAAAGAAAAUUACGAUUUUAAUUUUCUGUGACCAAUUUUUUUCGUCAACACCUUGACUUUGAAGACAC